rnacentral:lncRNA from 1 species
CCCAGCCCCUCUGCACUCCUGCCUGGACAAUUCAUUCCAGCAAACACCUUGAGAGGGUUUAUUGGCUCCACACCAGCUCCAAGCACAUUUAUUUGCUGCCUCUUGAUUCUGAGUGAAGAGUAGAUGGAUUGAAUUCACUGAAGGCGCUGCUGCUGAGCCUUUAUCAAGUGCCAAAUCAUUUUUAGGGCAGAAUAAUUUCUUUUUAAGUGUGUCAAAACCACUUCAGACAUGUCUGUUAUGGCCACACUCUUCAUAUUUAUCCAUUUCAUGCUCUGAGAGUCAUGUGUUCUACACAUGUUAGAAGAAAUCACUGUGGGGCUACAGGAAAAUUCAGGUACUUCACAAUUAAAACAU